UUUGAUCCUGGCUCAGAAUGAACGCUGGCGGCGUGCUUAACACAUGCAAGUCGAGCGAGAAAGGGCUUCGGCCUGAGUACAGCGGCAGACGGGUGAGUAACGCGUGGGAAUCUUCCUUUUAGUGGAGAAUACCCUCGAGAAAUCGAGGUUAAUACUGCAUAAGUUCCUUCGGGAAGAAAGAUGGCCUCUUUGCUAUCGCUAGAAGAUGAGCCCGCGUACUAUUAGCUAGUUGGUAGGGUAAAGGCCUACCAAGGCGAUGAUGGUUAACCGGCCUGAGAGGGUGUACGGUCACACUGGAACUGAGACACGGUCCAGACUCCUACGGGAGGCAGCAGUGAGGAAUAUUGCGCAAUGGACGAAAGUCUGACGCAGCGACGCCGCGUGGAGGAUGACGGUCUUCGGAUUGUAAACUUCUGUUAAGUGGGAAGAAAUACCCGGUAAUAAUACGACCGGGGGAUGACGGUACCAUUAGAGAAAGCACUGGCUAACUUCGUGCCAGCAGCCGCGGUAAUACGAAGGGUGCAAGCGUUAUUCGGAGUUAUUGGGCGUAAAGGGUGCGCAGGCGGUAUAUUAAGUCAACUGUUAAAUUUCCCGGCUUAACUGGGAACCAGCAGUAGAUACUGGUAUGCUUGAGGGUGGAAGAGAGAAGUGGAAUUCUCGGAGUAGCGGUAAAAUGCGUAGAUCUCGAGAGGAACACCGAUGGCGAAGGCAGCUUCUUGGUCCACAUCUGACGCUCAUGCACGAAAGCGGUGGGGGAGCAAACAGGAUUAGAUACCCUGGUAGUCCACGCUGUAAACGAUGAUCACUAGACGUAGGACUGCUCUGCAGUUUCAGUGUCGAAGCUAACGCGAUAGUGAUCGCUGGGGAGUACGUCGCAAGAUAAAACUCAAGAACUGACGGGGUCCGCACAGCGGUGAACUGUGGUUAUUCGAACCUACCGAGAUCUACCUAGGCUGGACUGAAUGGACGUCUAGAAAUAGUUCAGAAAUCCUGACGAUCAGGUCUGCAUGCUUCCCAGCCUGGUCUGGGAGUUGUAGCUUAAACUGCAUCGGCUAAAUGUGU
rnacentral:rRNA from 1 species